rnacentral:rRNA from 1 species
GGUUAAGCGACUAAGCGUACACGGUGGAUGCCCUGGCAGUCAGAGGCGAUGAAGGACGUGCUAAUCUGCGAUAAGCGUCGGUAAGGUGAUAUGAACCGUUAUAACCGGCGAUUUCCGAAUGGGGAAACCCAGUGUGAUUCGUCACACUAUCAUUAACUGAAUCCAUAGGUUAAUGAGGCGAACCGGGGGAACUGAAACAUCUAAGUACCCCGAGGAAAAGAAAUCAACCGAGAUUCCCCCAGUAGCGGCGAGCGAACGGGGAGGAGCCCAGAGCCUGAAUCAGUGUGUGUGUUAGUGGAAGCGUCUGGAAAGGCGCGCGAUACAGGGUGACAGCCCCGUACACAAAAAUGCACAUGCUGUGAGCUCGAUGAGUAGGGCGGGACACGUGGUAUCCUGUCUGAAUAUGGGGGGACCAUCCUCCAAGGCUAAAUACUCCUGACUGACCGAUAGUGAACCAGUACCGUGAGGGAAAGGCGAAAAGAACCCCGGCGAGGGGAGUGAAAAAGAACCUGAAACCGUGUACGUACAAGCAGUGGGAGCACGCUUCGGCGUGUGACUGCGUACCUUUUGUAUAAUGGGUCAGCGACUUAUAUUCUGUAGCAAGGUUAACCGAAUAGGGGAGCCGAAGGGAAACCGAGUCUUAACUGGGCGUUAAGUUGCAGGGUAUAGACCCGAAACCCGGUGAUCUAGCCAUGGGCAGGUUGAAGGUUGGGUAACACUAACUGGAGGACCGAACCGACUAAUGUUGAAAAAUUAGCGGAUGACUUGUGGCUGGGGGUGAAAGGCCAAUCAAACCGGGAGAUAGCUGGUUCUCCCCGAAAGCUAUUUAGGUAGCGCCUCGUGAAUUCAUCUCCGGGGGUAGAGCACUGUUUCGGCAAGGGGGUCAUCCCGACUUACCAACCCGAUGCAAACUGCGAAUACCGGAGAAUGUUAUCACGGGAGACACACGGCGGGUGCUAACGUCCGUCGUGAAGAGGGAAACAACCCAGACCGCCAGCUAAGGUCCCAAAGUCAUGGUUAAGUGGGAAACGAUGUGGGAAGGCCCAGACAGCCAGGAUGUUGGCUUAGAAGCAGCCAUCAUUUAAAGAAAGCGUAAUAGCUCACUGGUCGAGUCGGCCUGCGCGGAAGAUGUAACGGGGCUAAACCAUGCACCGAAGCUGCGGCAGCGACACUAUGUGUUGUUGGGUAGGGGAGCGUUCUGUAAGCCUGUGAAGGUGUGCUGUGAGGCAUGCUGGAGGUAUCAGAAGUGCGAAUGCUGACAUAAGUAACGAUAAAGCGGGUGAAAAGCCCGCUCGCCGGAAGACCAAGGGUUCCUGUCCAACGUUAAUCGGGGCAGGGUGAGUCGACCCCUAAGGCGAGGCCGAAAGGCGUAGUCGAUGGGAAACAGGUUAAUAUUCCUGUACUUGGUGUUACUGCGAAGGGGGGACGGAGAAGGCUAUGUUGGCCGGGCGACGGUUGUCCCGGUUUAAGCGUGUAGGCUGGUUUUCCAGGCAAAUCCGGAAAAUCAAGGCUGAGGCGUGAUGACGAGGCACUACGGUGCUGAAGCAACAAAUGCCCUGCUUCCAGGAAAAGCCUCUAAGCAUCAGGUAACAUCAAAUCGUACCCCAAACCGACACAGGUGGUCAGGUAGAGAAUACCAAGGCGCUUGAGAGAACUCGGGUGAAGGAACUAGGCAAAAUGGUGCCGUAACUUCGGGAGAAGGCACGCUGAUAUGUAGGUGAAGUCCCUCGCGGAUGGAGCUGAAAUCAGUCGAAGAUACCAGCUGGCUGCAACUGUUUAUUAAAAACACAGCACUGUGCAAACACGAAAGUGGACGUAUACGGUGUGACGCCUGCCCGGUGCCGGAAGGUUAAUUGAUGGGGUUAGCGGUAACGCGAAGCUCUUGAUCGAAGCCCCGGUAAACGGCGGCCGUAACUAUAACGGUCCUAAGGUAGCGAAAUUCCUUGUCGGGUAAGUUCCGACCUGCACGAAUGGCGUAAUGAUGGCCAGGCUGUCUCCACCCGAGACUCAGUGAAAUUGAACUCGCUGUGAAGAUGCAGUGUACCCGCGGCAAGACGGAAAGACCCCGUGAACCUUUACUAUAGCUUGACACUGAACAUUGAGCCUUGAUGUGUAGGAUAGGUGGGAGGCUUUGAAGUGUGGACGCCAGUCUGCAUGGAGCCGACCUUGAAAUACCACCCUUUAAUGUUUGAUGUUCUAACGUUGACCCGUAAUCCGGGUUGCGGACAGUGUCUGGUGGGUAGUUUGACUGGGGCGGUCUCCUCCUAAAGAGUAACGGAGGAGCACGAAGGUUGGCUAAUCCUGGUCGGACAUCAGGAGGUUAGUGCAAUGGCAUAAGCCAGCUUGACUGCGAGCGUGACGGCGCGAGCAGGUGCGAAAGCAGGUCAUAGUGAUCCGGUGGUUCUGAAUGGAAGGGCCAUCGCUCAACGGAUAAAAGGUACUCCGGGGAUAACAGGCUGAUACCGCCCAAGAGUUCAUAUCGACGGCGGUGUUUGGCACCUCGAUGUCGGCUCAUCACAUCCUGGGGCUGAAGUAGGUCCCAAGGGUAUGGCUGUUCGCCAUUUAAAGUGGUACGCGAGCUGGGUUUAGAACGUCGUGAGACAGUUCGGUCCCUAUCUGCCGUGGGCGCUGGAGAACUGAGGGGGGCUGCUCCUAGUACGAGAGGACCGGAGUGGACGCAUCACUGGUGUUCGGGUUGUCAUGCCAAUGGCACUGCCCGGUAGCUAAAUGCGGAAGAGAUAAGUGCUGAAAGCAUCUAAGCACGAAACUUGCCCCGAGAUGAGUUCUCCCUGACCCUUUAAGGGUCCUGAAGGAACGUUGAAGACGACGACGUUGAUAGGCCGGGUGUGUAAGCGCAGCGAUGCGUUGAGCUAACCGGUACUAAUGAACCGUGAGGCUUAACCUU